rnacentral:rRNA from 1 species
AGCCGGCCUGAAAGGGCGACGGCCACACUGGGACUGAGACACGGCCCAGAGUCCUAGGGGAGGCAGCAGUGGGGAGUAGUGCACAAUGGGCGAGAGCCUGAUGCAGCGACGCCGCGUGAGGGAGGACGGCCUUCGGGUUGUAAACCUCUUUCAGCAGGGAAGAAGCGAAAGUGACGGUACCUGCAGAAGAAGCGCCGGCUAACUACGUGCCAGCAGCCGCGGUAAUACGUAGGGCGCAAGCGUUGUCCGGAAUUAUUGGGCGUAAAGAGCUCGUAGGCGGCUUGUCACGUCGGUUGUGAAAGCCCGGGGCUUAACCCCGGGUCUGCAGUCGAUACGGGCAGGCUAGAGUUCGGUAGGGGAGAUCGGAAUUCCUGGUGUAGCGGUGAAAUGCGCAGAUAUCAGGAGGAACACCGGUGGCGAAGGCGGAUCUCUGGGCCGAUACUGACGCUGAGGAGCGAAAGCGUGGGGAGCGAACAGGAUUAGAUACCCUGGUAGUCCACGCCGUAAACGGUGGGCACUAGGUGUGGGCAACAUUCCACGUUGUCCGUGCCGCAGCUAACGCAUUAAGUG